rnacentral:sRNA from 3 species
GAAGUCUGACGAGGAUGAGAACCUCCGGGGGCAAGAGGUUCGACUCGAGCGAAGCGAGAGAACGUUGCGUCAGCAACGGCCCGCAGGGCGAGCCACGCAGUGGCGAGUCAUCCUCUAUCACCGACCA